UAGGGAAUAUUAGAAAUGGACGCAAGUCUGAUCUAGCAACACCGCGUGUGCGAAGAAGGCCUUCGGGUUGUAAAGCACUUUUUGGAAGGAUUAGGAAGGAAUGUACUUCCAGAAUAAGUCUCGGCUAACUACGUGCCAGCAGCCGCGGUAACGCGUAGGAGGCAAACGUUAUCCGGAUUUACUGGGCGUAAAGCGCGUGUAGGUGGUUCUGUAAGUAGGGCGUGAAAGCUCCUGGCUCAGCUGGGAGAGGCCGUUCUAAACUGCAGAGCUAGAGGAUGGUAGAGGGAGGUGGAAUUCCGGGUGUAGCGGUGGAAUGCGCAGAUAUCCGGAGGAACACCAGUGGCGAAAGCGGCCUCCUGGACCAUUCCUGACACUCAGACGCGAAAGCUAGGGUAGCAAACGG
rnacentral:rRNA from 1 species